UGAAAAUCUUUCUAAAAAUCCAGUCACUUUUUUAUAUUAUUGAAAAUUCGAUCCGUUAAAUGAAUCGGUCGAUUCCUUCUUAACAGCCGGCUUUUAAAUGAAUUCCUAACUCAGUUACCAUUUACCUGACGCAAAAAGAAAUAAAAUGAACCUAUUUUUUUAAGUUAAUCAAUGACAUUUGACAAGGCUGCAUUGGGUUUUCAAAUUUUAGUCCGCUCCACAACAUACCCAGCCCCAACAAGUCUGGAUUGUCUGUCAGAUGACUUUAAAAUCAACACAAGAAGCAUUCUGGAUUUGUUUGCCUGAUAAGAAGAAAUUUUUACAGCACUCCCUGCCUAUUUACAAAUUGUGAAGAAAGAUCUACCAGAAGAUAGAUACAUAAUAACUCUUUUCAUUGAACACUCAUUUGAUAGUUCUGCCAGUGCUUAAAAACCCCUGAAAAGAAAUCAUGUUUGGAGUUCAACCUGCAGACGGGCCGGCCAGUUUGCAUGUCCUUCACGCUUGAAGGUCACGGGGAUCAUUCCGUAAAACUGUCAUGUGGUGGUGUAGAGGUUGGGUGAGAAUCGUGCAGUGGUGUAGAGGUUGGGUGAGAACGACACGUGUUGCAAUCAUUAUGAAACAGGUAUAAUAGCCGCAAGCCAUAACCAUUUGGUAUUCAUUUUGAUAUUGGUUUUUGUACACC